AUGCAAUCUUAUGAUGAAAAACUUAAUUUGGAAGUUUCUAUACCUAGAAAACUUAAUGAUGAGUGGGAACCUACUAUUAAGAUUAGAAUGAAAGAUUAUGAGUGUUUUGCUUUGUGUGAUUUGGGUGCUAGUGUUUCCACGAUUCCGAAAACUUUAUGUGAUAUUCUAGGUUUCCAUGAUCUUGAUGAUUGCUCUUUAAAUUUGCACCUUGCAGAUUCCACCAUUAAAAAGCCUAUGGGGAGGAUCAAUGAUGUUCUUAUUGUUGCAAAUAGAAAUUUGGUGCCCGUAGAUUUUAUCGUUCUUGAUAAAGGUUGCAAUCUUUCUUGCCCUAUUAUUCUUGGUAGACCUUUCCUUAGAACGAUUAGUGCGAUUAUUGACAUGAAGGAAGGGAAUAUUAGAUUCCAUUUUCCAUUAAAGAAAGGAAUGGAGCACUUUCCAAAAAGAAAGUCAAAUUACCUUAUGAAUCUAUCAUGCGUGCUACUUAUGAAUUUAGUGCCAAAGAGGGCACUCAUUAGAUCUAUCUUCGCUUUUAUGCCUAGCUAG
rnacentral:rRNA from 1 species